GCAUCUUUUCACAUCAGAGAGGAAUUGCUGAAAAAGAUGAUGGAAUCUUCUUUCAAUAAUGUUGGUGUUACGAUAAAUGAUGACGAACAUAUCACAUCAAUGUCAGAAUUCAGCGUCUAUAAAGAAACUCCUCGGAGUAAAAUAUUUUUAAUAAUUCGAAAUCGAAACCAUCCUCAGUCGUUCGGGCUGGAAUACACAAGCGGUCGGCUGAGAAAUUACUCGUCUCCUGACAGGUUAUCGUUGGGGUCCAUUGUAUAAUGUUGUUGACGAAGAAGUAGAAAGCAGUCAUUUAAAUUCCUCGCUGCAUCUCCAGGAAAUUUAACCGAAGCUGUGUACAGAUUUAACUGCAAUAUU
rnacentral:lncRNA from 1 species